UCCAAUCAGAACUCACACUGCGCUGAGUGGGCGGAGCCACAGCGGGGUCUAUUUACCUUUUUGGCCGCCUGCUCCUCUUCCACACCGUCCCCCACUACAACAUACACUACUUUCCUGCCAAACCUUUGCAUUAUGCGCUCAAAGCAACUCUCUUUUCCUGCAAAUAAACAAGAAGGAGGGAGGGGGGUGGUCAAAAAAAAAGCUCAAAGGUCAUUUACCUGGCCGGCUGCAUGCUCUUCAUCCUUGCCAUCGCCAAUCACAACAUAUGUAAUGUUAGUGCCGAAGCGGGAGACUAUACGCUCAAAACAGCUCUCUUUGCCUGGGGGAUGAAAAAUGCCUUUCACAGGGUUUCAUUUCUCAAAACGUUUAGGCUGGGAUCUGUUUUGUUUCAACAACAGUAUGAUGUGAAGUUGUUACCAUAGCGACCAAUGUACAAUUGUGGCGUGUGUGUCUUGCCUAUUUUUGUCGCACUGUAGAUGUUCUCUAUGGGGAACACGGAACCGAGACUGUACAGGAGAACUUUAGCGAGCGCCGGUAUGAGCUGCGUCGUGGUCACCAGCACGUUGACGCAGUUGCUCCUGCGAGGGGGUACAGCAGCUAAGUAAAAGCGAGCACUUUUUGAAAUGUUUCAGUCCAGAACUAUGAGACACACCUGGAGCUGAUGAUGGACAGCGACUUGAGGGCGUGAGUGAGCCAGGAGUCGGUGAGAGCCUCUACCUCAGCUCGGAGCUGCAGCCAGGCAUCCCUCUUUGCAGGACCCAGCAGACCUGCGAGGCAGCAUCGACUCAUUAAAACCUCAGGAUCAUGUGCGGCGUUUGUGCAGGUGCUAAAGCCUCCCAUGCCCCGCAUCCCUCACCCAUCUGAUUGGCUUACCCCCUACAUUGUUUUUGUACGUGCUAUACAACUCUUUGACCCGUCGGUAUCGGAAGGCCAGCUUCCUCAUCCAGUCGACGCCGCCGCGGACGCCCGUAGCGAGGCACAGGUUGGCGCUGGUCGCAGCUGCAUGGAAGCCAUCAGUUGCAAAACUGAGCCUGUGAGCAAAGAAUGGAAGACAAUGAUGGUCUCAUCCAGAUCCCACACAAAAACCCUCUGCAAAGACACAGAAGGCAUCAGCAGUGCACCCCCAUGAAAGGAAAUAGCGAGCAUAAAAAACACUAGUAAGUGCUCUUUGUUUUUUGUUGUUGUUGUUCAUGUUACCUCCAGGUCACUAUCUGGGGGAGGAGAAGGGUUGUUCUUGCGGCUCCUCCCUCGCGACUUGGACCCGCCACUCCGACACGCUCGGUCAUCCAGGUCCUUGAUGGGCGUGGAGGGCCUCUGCACCGCAUCAAAGUCCCCUGAGAGGGGGAGAGAGGACGGGGAGAGCAGGGGGGGGUGGACAGACACAAAGAAGACUCGGGGAGUUCAAGCAGGACAUGAGACGUCGUCUAAGGGAAGAACUGAGAGCGAGAUACACUCUCAUAAGAGAAGUCUGUACGUGUACUAGAUGGGAUAACUGCACUUUUUUUUUUUUUUUGCAGCUUCUGAAAGUGAAACCAACACCAACCUGGAUGGAGUUCUGCAGCCUGGCCCGUCAUAGCAGGGGCGGGGUCUUGUAGCUGGUAGGCUGCAGUGGUGCCGGUCCCGUCCACGCUGCCAGAUGUCAUAUACGUCCCGUACGUGGAGGCGGAAUAAUACUGGGCAUACUGGUUUUGGCCAAAGGUUGUGUAUGAGGGAUAAUCCUGCAAAGAGAGUCGGAUGUUUUCUGGAUGGACUCCAACCUCCUUCCCUCGCUCUUAUCUCUUUACUCCCUUUUAUUUCUAUUUCCAAAAGCGUUCCAGCCUAGUUCUUCUGGAUUUUACUGUCCCCGAGAAGACGGCCGGGUGCUUUUAUGAGUCAGCUACAUCGCUCUCUAAACGAGAGCGUGCCACACAAACAUCCCUAUUAAAGUCCCCAUUUUAGGGGGAUUUUUACGACCAAAAUACAAUGCAUCAAACAGACACAGGCGAAAUAUCCCCUCGUAAGGUUCCAGUAUAAUUUCAUUUCUGUGUCUGUAAAAUCAUUUUUUUCCCUUUGUCCUAACUGCUAUUGCAGAGAGACAAAACAAAGCCUGAGCUCCGUCGGUGACGUUCGUUGGACCGCGCGUGUUAACAUCUGCUCCGACACGGACAACUGCCAAGGAACGUUUCGUGGGAAAGUUCAUCUUUAGGCACAAGCUACCUUUUAAAAGUUUGGGCAGGAAUUUGUGGGGAAAAAUACAUUUAAAUCCAUGCACGCAUUUGGCUUUUUCUUUGGCUUUGUGUUUUGCGGUUAUUAAAUAAUAUAUUUUUAUAUGUGUAUGACAGUUAAGAACAUUCAAACGUAACUUGCAGGUUUCACAAUGGCAACAGUUGACCCGGGAACUGAUCAUUGUUAUUUAUAGCUAUUGUUUCUUAUGGGAGGGUCAAAUCUCACUUCGGUUGUUUGCCUAAGUCUAGAAAUGCUCCGCUUGCCCUUGACUGUGUCGUUUUGCUACAUCGACCUAAAACGAAUCAUCCUACACGUUGCUAACUCACUGCCCGUACAUGUGUUAUUGACUGCAAAUGCUAAAUAACCCACCAUGGGGCCAAAGUUAUGAGUGUCAGCAAUUUGGUAAAAAAGGUGAGAAACACUAUUGAAUUCCAUCUCGCCAAGAUGUAUGGGAAAUCUGUGUCAAUAAUAUAUUCUAUCCAUUCAUCGUUUAGAAUGAUUUUGCAUCGUUUUCUGCACGUAAAACUGUCAUUAUGUUCUUUAAAAAAUGUAUUUUUGUUCAGAUUUUUGGGUGUCUGACAUGGAUUAAUUAGAUUUAAAUGGGAAAAAAUGCAUGUUUAUUUUCCCCAAGACAGCUUAGCAAGUAUUGAUCUACUUUAGCAUUUUUGUAGUGCCCCAG